GGCGGGCGAGCGCGGGCAGCGGGACAAAAGGGAAGAGGCCGCGGGGAGGCGGCUCCCGGGCGGACGCGGCUCGGGGCGCGCGGGCCCCACCUAGAUUCCGGACCAGGGUGGCAACAUUCCAAAAGGGAUUCAUUGACCAAAAGGGACCCAAUGACAGCCUUCCAGUAGAACACAACCUGCCAGGACCCAUCUUUGGUUACACAGAUGGGAACUGCCUCAGGAUGGUGGAGCAGUAAAGUACGUGGUCCUUGAAUGAUCUCCUGGAACUGCUAUACCAACUUGCACCACAGACAUGGGGCUUAAAUUAAGAAAGAAAUAAAAGUCUAUA